rnacentral:lncRNA from 1 species
UUGUUUUCCGUCUCUCUCCUCGCCCCCGCCCCCUAUCUCACUCGGGCCCUCCCAAUCCCCGCCCCUCCGCCUCCAACUUCCGUUCUAUCCUCGGGGGGGCUGGGCCCGUCCGGUUUCCCGGCACCCCCCGCGCGGCCUCGACCUUUCCCGCAGACCUCGGGCCGCCGCCGCCGCGGACUGUGCGCCCGGCCUGCUCAGGUGAGGGCUUGCGGAGGGGGGCCGACCCUAAAUUCGCGCGCCGACCCCCGGCUGGCCGGUAAUGCGGAGCCCGGCCCUUCUGUCGCUUCCGGGGCUCGGUGCUACCUUUCGUGCCCGGCCGGCACCGUUUCCUGUGCCGGGGCAGCGCCCAACGGCCUCAUGGCACAGAUUUCGGGAAGACUCGGGCUGAGAGGUCAGCAGGGACUCUCGGGGUCGCUCAGGUGGGAAGUGACAGCCAGACGAUGGCCCCUCAUCCGGAAGGCCCUUGAUCUCCCCGCACCAGUGCCGGGAUCCUUGGCGUCCUGGACGAGGUCGCCCCCGUCAGAGUCGGGCGUCCGGAUUCGCAGGCGCGGCCGUGUCCGCCCAGCCCGGGAGCCGCUAGUCCGCUGGGCCCCGGCCUCGUUCGUUCCCUUUCCGCCCGGCUUUCUCUCUCCCUGAUUAGGCAUCAGGAUCAUAUUUGUCUUAUAGAAGGAGCAUGUUUCAGUUUAUUUCCCAUGAAGUCUGCUGGCUGUCACCUUGGAGAUGUUCACAAGGAAACAAGUGAAGCAACUUCUGCGGAGGAUACCUGGAAAACAGCGCUUUGGUGUCUAUAGGUUUCUUCCUUUCUUCUUUGUUCUGGGAGGAGCAAUGGAGUGGUUUAUGAUCAAAGUCCGAGUUGGCCAGGAGACCUUCUAUGAUGUUUAUCGAAGAAAAGAAUCAGAGAGACAGUACCAAAGAAGGCUGGAAGAAGAAUCUUGAGAAGCAUGAAUGGUGGAGCCUUACUUUUCAACAAAAUAAGUAGCCAUAACUUUUAAGUCAAAUGUGAAUGUGAACUGUUUUCACUUUGGGUUUCUCUAUCAUGUAAGAAACCUAUUAGUUAGUGCCCUCUUGUGGCCAGAUCAUGGAUCUUCACCCCGUCCAAAACAUCUGUGUGAAGAAGGGUUUUCUGUCUCAGUAUUUUCAUACUUUAAUGUUUGAAAAGGAGUAUAAUGAUUUCUUUAGGAGGGCUUUCAGAGCAGAUUGAAUUAAAUGAAUAUGUUUUAGAUCAUUAAUAAUAAUUUUAAAGUACUGCUUUGUGAUGAAAUUUUAAAUAAAUUAAAUCAUGAACAACUGUGAUACCAGC